GAAUUUUGGACAAUGGGCGAAAGCCUGAUCCAGCAAUGCCGCGUGUGCGAAGAAGGCCUUCGGGUUGUAAAGCACUGUUGUCAGGGAAGAAAUCCUUUGGGCUAAUACCCUAGGGGGAUGACGGUACCUGAAGACUAAGCCCCGGCUAACUACGUGCCAGCAGCCGCGGGAAUACGUAGGGUGCAAGCGUUAAUCGGAAUUACUGGGCGUAAAACUGGCUCCUUCAUUGCGUUAAUAGAUCUCUGCCAUCCCCGGGCUUACCCGUAGAAUUGCAUUUGUGACUGCACGACUAGAAUGUGUCAGACAUGAUUUAACUUCCACUUUGCACCUUUAAAUCCUUCGCUAUCUUCCCAACCCCCCCUCUCCACUGCCACCCCCUAUGAUAACACUGACGCUCAUGCACGAAAGCGUGGGGAGCAAACAGG
rnacentral:rRNA from 1 species